CCCUUAGAUGUUCUGGGCCGCACGCGCGCUACACUGAUGCAUUCUACGAGCCUAUCCUUGACCGACAGGUCCGGGUAAUCUUUGAAUCUGCAUCGUGACGGGGAUAGAUUAUUGCAAUUAUUAAUCUUCAACGAGGAAUGCCUAGUAGGCGCAAGUCAUCAGCUUGCGUCGAUUACGUCCCUGCCCUUUGUACACACCGCCCGUCGCUCCUACCGAUUGGGUGUGCUGGUGAAAUGUUCGGAUCGGCCGUUUGUCGCGGUUUCCGCGGCUCGUGGCUGAGAAGUUCAUUAAACCCUCCCACCUAGAGGAAGGAGAAGUCGUAACA
rnacentral:rRNA from 1 species